rnacentral:lncRNA from 1 species
CCGUGAUUGGCGGGGAGACCUGCCCAAUGGGAAAACUUACACGUUGGCUGAGGCCUCUGGGAAAUGGGGUUCAGCGUCGUGAUGCCCUCUGGGAAUCGUAGUUCUGCGUGUCUGCCCGGCACGGCCGAACGCUGCCCACGAGCGGGGGCGGGGUUCUCUCCGCGCGACCGGAAGUGGCUGUUGAAGCGGCAGUAGGCGUGAAAAGAGGUUGGCGCUGGGGAAGUGUAACCUCCUCGGCUCCCUUCUCUACGUCUGGUGAUUGUCCCAGUGCUUCCGGACGCGGGAUCCGAGUGCGCGGAUCGCCCUAGAGGGAGGGAAGCCCAGGGCCGCCAGCCUGAGCGUGUGGAAGGGCUCCUGCUCUUUGCUGGACGGCUGAACCCCAGACCGAGGCCCCUGCUGGAAGGACGCUGCUCGGGAAACCCUCGUGUCCAGGCUCCGGAGGAACGGAAUGAGCUCCUGAGAUGGAAGGUAGUGGGGACCCGAGGAUGGAAGAGCGGGGCGAUGGGGGCAAAAGAAGAUCAAAUACUUGACAGCUGGUAGAGGUGGAAAGAGGGAGCCUUAUCUCAAGACCCUUCCUCUCCGGAGCCUGCCCUCCUCCAAGCGGGACACACUUUACUUGCAUCAACCAGUUUUCAAGUAAGUUGGAAUUCCUGAAAUGCCAUCUUAGUCUGCACAAUGGAUUG